GACCCCGAGCCCGCCGCGCGCUGUGCGGCUCCAGGGGCGCCGGCAGGACCGUCACCGCCUCGCCAUCCCCGGCCCCAGGCUCUGUCCAGCGGCACCUGAGGUCGCCAAGUGCCAGGUCUGGCUGUCCGGUUCGGCCCCCGGCUCCACCAGCUGGUCACGGUAGGCUCCGUGCGGUGACUGAAACUCUGUGCUUCCCUUUCUUAAUUGGGAACGGCGGCAGUUUCGAACUCAAACUCAGCGCGGUCACGGGGUGACUCUGGAUCUGCAUCAUAAAGAAGUGCGGACGCGUCGUUAUUCCUGUGUGGUGGCCAGCUUCCCGUAACACGCUCCCCUAUCUCUUUCUCCGGGCCCGGUACAAUAACAGGGUAGCAGAGCUUCCUCCUGGCCAGACAUUGUGCAGACACCUUUGAGCUGAAGUCCUGGGUAGAGACCAUACCAGGUGGAGUUGUCAGACAAAGGAACCUUUUUUUUGCACUGAAGGAAUCACUCCCAAGGCUGUGACUCGCACAGCAGAGGUCCCAACACAGGAAGCUUCUAAACUUUGAACGUCUGAGGAUAAUAAGAGUGUCCUUUUGUAUGAGAAUGGAGACAGGUGGCUGGGGGUCCUAGGGAGCUUUGGGAUGGGGACUGGUCACCAGAAGAACCAACCAUGUGACUAGAACUUUCACCCCCACCCCCUGGAGCAGAGAGGGACUGGAGACUGAGUUAAUCACCAGUGGUCAAUGAUUUAACCAAUUAUGCCUACAUAAUGAACCUCCAUUAAAAAACACUAAAGGGUUGGGGGGUUCAGAGAGCUUCCAGGCUGGUGAACACAUCAAGGUGCUGGGAGGGUGGCAAGCAGGAAAGGGGAUGUGCACUGCUUUGCCCCUUCCCUCACACUUUACCCUAUGCACUUCUUCCAUUUUGAUGCUCCGGAGUUGUAUCCCUUAUAAUAAGCUGUUAAUAGUAUUUUCCUGAGUUCUGCAAUCCAUUCCAGUAAGUUAUCCAACCUGAGGGAGGGAGUCAUGGGAACUCCAAUGUAUAGCUGGGUAGUCAGAAGUGCAGGGGGCCUGGACUUGGGAUUGACAUCUCAAGUGUGGCAGACUCCUUAAGCUGUGGGGUCCAACAUUAACUCUGGGUAGUGCAUGAAUUAAAUUGAUUUUGCCUCAGUCAGUUAAGCCUCCAAUUCUUGGUCUCAGCCCAGGUCUUGAUCUCAGGGUUGUGAGUUCAAGCCCCAUGCCUACUUAAAAAAAAAAGAAAAAAGAAAAAAAAAAAAAGAAAUUUGUAGGACAUCCAGUUGGUGUCCAGAGAAUUAGAAAAUUGGUUGACAUGGGAAAAAAAACCCUACACAUUAUCAGAAAUGCUGUAAUAAAAACCAGGUCAUCUAUAUAAGGGCAAAAUAAGAAUGCUUUCAGAGAAGCAAGUAUUCAGAAAGUUCAUUACUCGUGAAUGCUAACUGAAAGAAAUACUAGAGGAUGCAGUCUACGAAAAUUUAAAAAAAAAAUUGUGAAUCCAAGAGGAAGCUGUGGGACAGAAGCAGCAGUGGUAAACCAAGCAAUUUUGUAAAGGAUAUUAAACUAAAUACCUGUUACCUCUUUAUGUAUGUAUAUAGGCUUCACACUCAGCAUGGAGCCCAGUGUGGGACUUGAACUCAUGACCCUGAGAUCUGGAGCUGAGAUCAAGA